rnacentral:rRNA from 1 species
GACGAACGCUGGCGGCGUGCCUAAUACAUGCAAGUUGAGCGAUGAAGAUUGGUGCUUGCCCCAAUUUGAAGAGCAGCGAACGGGUGAGUAACGCGUGGGGAAUCUGCCUUUGAGCGGGGGACAACAUUUGGAAACGAAUGCUAAUACCGCAUAACAACUUUAAACAUAAGUUUUAAGUUUGAAAGAUGCAAUUGCAUCACUCAAAGAUGAUCCCGCGUUGUAUUAGCUAGUUGGUGAGGUAAAGGCUCACCAAGGCGAUGAUACAUAGCCGACCUGAGAGGGGGAUCGGCCACAGUGGGACUGAGACACGGCCCAAACUCCUACGGGAGGCAGCAGUAGGGAAUCUUCGGCAAUGGACGAAAGUCUGGCCGAGCAACGCCGCGUGAGUGAAGAAGGUUUUCGGAUCGUAAAACUCUGUUGGUAGAGAAGAACGUUGGUGAGAGUGGAAAGCUCAUCAAGUGACGGUAACUACCCAGAAAGGGACGGCUAACUACGUG